CCCUUAGAUGUUCUGGGCCGCACGCGUGCUACACUGAGUGGAUCAGCGGGUCAGGUUGCGCGAAAGUGUUUCCUAAUCUUUAAAUCCGCUCGUGAUGGGGAUUGACGGUUGCAAUUUUCCGUCAUGAACGAGGAAUACCUUGUAAGCGCGGGUCAUCAUCCCGCGCUGAAUACGUCCCUGCCCUUUGUACACACCGCCCGUCGCUCCUACCGAUUGAGUGGUCCGGUGAGGCUUUGGGAUCUGAGCGGAAAGAGCGUUUCGCUGUUUCUGCCCGGAAAACUCAGUCGAACCUUAUCAUUUAGAGGAAGUAGAAGUCGUAACA
rnacentral:rRNA from 1 species